GAAAAUUGAAGCGAUGAAGGGCAGAUAUUUCCAUGAUAUAUCCAUAGUGAGGGCUUGUAACACCCCACUGGUCACACACAAUGGAUAUCACCAAAAACCCCACCCACCUAACUUACUCCACACAAGAGGCGUAAUAAAGAAAGAAAAUAUAGCAAAAUCCGGCAGCACCUCCUUUGAAACUAACAUAACAAGGAGGGGAAACAUGAAGUUCAUAUAGGAUAUAAAGACAUAUAAUUCACAUAGUAGAAACUAGAUGCAAAGUGGUAAAGCUCAUUUAUGCCCCAACUGAAGUAAAACAAUGGGAUAAGAAACUCAGCCCACCCCAAAAUAAACGCUCAACCAAGAACAAAGCAAUUCACUAGACUUGACCAACUCUGAUUAACAACAUUAUUAAAUGGUGGUUCCUUUAUUAAAGGUGUAGUGGCCGUGCUGCUACAUCUCUCUAUUCCCAAAGCAGAAAUUAGGUGCCUGCAUCAAACAAUGCAAGAUGUGAGAUAACACAUCUCAGCAAGUAAACAUAACAACAACAAAUAGGACAUUGUAAAUCAACUGUGCUUACACAACCACGUGUUCAGAACUUCUUUCUUUUCUUUUGAACAGUAAAUUGCAGCAAGUAAACAAGUAACUAAAAUCUCAACGCCAAGUAGAGUCACCAUGCACAAGUCCAAAUUAUCCACAUCCACAUAAUAGAUUCCACACCUCUCCCAUGAAUGCACAUGGCUACAAAUGCAAUAAUGACUUCUGCCUCCAUAUCUCUAAGGAUAUGAAGCUGCACCAUACCCCUUCUCGGGCAACAUAUGAUGCUCAAUGUACCGGUACGGUCGGACCAUAAGAUCGCAACGAAACUUCAAUGCAAUGGAUGAUGAGUGCAUUAUGCAUGACAACAUCAUGAGUUCUUCCCAAAUAAAAAAUGUGCUAGACAUUUACUUCCACCCAUUCCACAUAAUAACCACUUGAGUAACAUAAUCAAACCUCAAACUCAACAUAUGAAAUCCAUGAAACAUGAACAUUUUCAAAUGAUGGUACUCAAAAUAAAAUAUGAAUAUGAACACAAUAGCACAACAUAAUCAAGUAUAAGACUCCUCAUCUCACAGACGGAAUAACCAUCACAGUUUUACUUGCCUUCACCGGAAGUUUGGGCAAAUCCCCUAAGAACGAUCUGGGAGUCCACCACCUGUUUUUGACACCCAACUUAGUGCACCAAAUUCACAUAAAAAACUCAAAACAACGCCGCACCUACGCGCAAUCUCAAACCCCGCCGCGGGUAACAAUUCUCCCCACACCAACCAAACUGCAGCGGCGCUGCUUAACAAUUCCAUAACUUUAAAAUUAAGACAGCAGUGGUGUCAAACAAAAACUCCAGAGGCAACUACAUAAAAUUCCCCACAAGUUUUGUAUACAAUUUAUGAUUAAAUUCUAACAUCUAAUUACCCCUAAACGGUCCACAAAAUAAACCCUGCAAUCUGUUUUUUUCCUGUUUUGGGCAGCGACAUACUCGGAUUCAAACAACGAUAACUUUUAAAAUAUAAUUCCGAAUCAAGCGCAUAAGUACUUGUUGGAAAGAUAAGAAAGAGCCCUUCAUGAUUCUUAUACUGAUUAACCCUAAUUACUCCCGAAAAAUCCCCAGAAACUGCUAAUACUGCUGCUGUUCAUCCCCCUGAAAAUCUGUUUUUUGGACAGCCACAUACCUGGAUUCAAACGGUGAUAACUUUCAAUUUAUAACUCCAAAUUGAGCGCAUAAAUACUCAUUGGAAAGGUAAGACAAAGUUCUACAUGAUACCCAAACUGGUUUCCCUUAAUUUCUCACGAAAAAACACAGAAACUGCUAGAACUACUGCUGUUCAUCCACCACCUAAAAUUCUGGACAGCCCCCUCUACCCAAUCGCAAACGCAACCUCUAAUCAAUUGAAUUGCAGCGCAAAUGAACAAGGGAUGAACACAAAAAUCACCUUGGAUUCCCCCCCUUUCCUUCCUCCCUUCUUCCCUCCACCAAAACGAUUGAAGACUCGCACCACGUGACGAUGAUCCGAGCGGCAAGGAUUGGCACCUUGGGAGGAGGAGAUUGGGGGGGGGGGGGGGGCGGCUAGGGUUUGGUGGUGUGGCUGCAAGAAUUGAGAGAGGAGGAGAUGGGCAGG
rnacentral:lncRNA from 1 species